GUGCUUGCUUCAGCACAACAUAUACUAAAAUUGGAAUAUCUGCAGAAGAUAAGCAUAGCCCUUGUGCAAGGAUGACAUGCAAAUUUGUAAAGCACUCAUAUUUUUU
ensembl:snRNA U6 U6 spliceosomal RNA